GCCCUCUUCCGCCGCCGCCGCUGCCGCCGCCGCCUCCACCUCCUCCUCCGCGGAGACCCCCCGCCCACUCCACACACUCUCCCAUCAUGCAGCGGGGGAACCGCUGCUGCUAUACGUCACUUCCGGGCGCAGAAGAGGAGGCUGAUGUUUAACAAAUAAAGAAGAGAUUGUUAUACAUGAAACUUACGAGGGGAAGCAAGAGGGGAAAGUCGCCGCCGCACUGACAAAUCGUCUUGGAGACCCAACACCACAAAUACGGGAUUUUGUGAACGGAUGGAGACUGUGGUCGUUUGUUUGUUUGUUUGUUUGUUUUACCGACGCUGCGGGAGACUAUCCGACGAAACUAAAGACAUCCAAUAAACUUCUGCAUUUCUCUAACAGGUCACACAGACUCUUUUUCUAUCAUCAGCGUUGAGCAGUUGGUCACUGCGGGUGUAUGAGUUUCCCCGCGCGUUUAUCGUGAAUAAAAACCAGAGUGCAAGGCUGCACGGGUGACUGUCCUCAUCUGGGGGGAUGAGCCGGGGGUCCUUCUCCUCGCAUUUGCCACGCCUGCAACGGCGAUCGGAGUAAUUUAAAAUAUUGCAAAACAGCAAAGCUCAAUAGCUGCCCAGGGAAACGGGAUGAAAAGCACCCCCUUCGGCCACCGGGAAGCGUCCACCCCUCGGAGUGGAGGCAUUUCCCACGUCGUGGAAGAUGAGGACAAAAGCAGUUCAUCACGGUUCACCCCGCCUCCGCGAUGUUCCGGGCGAAUUACCUCGGAGCGCAGAACAGACCCGCAUUUGUCUCCGCAGCUCCUUCGCUGUCAGAUGCGCGUAGACGACCUCCUUUUCACUUGGAGGACCUCCAAUUGCUUCGUGGCCGUGCGGCUGGAUUUCUGGUUCUUGUGAAAGCGAGAGUAAUCCAUAGGGCUUGUCAAAUGUAUUCCUAUUGUGCUUCGCCCCCUGCUGGUUUUAGCUCUCCUGCAUGAUUGAAUAUACAUGUAUAUGUUAGUGUAAGUUUAUUACCGAAGACGGAAAGAAACGAAAAUGUGUGUGUGUGCAGAAACUGGAAAUUAAUUCUUUUAGAUGAACACAUGCUUGUUUUUAUUUGAUAGCUCUACUCAAUAGAAAUAUCAGAAUAAUAACAGAUGACAAAAUCUUAAAGCUGAACCUAUAUCAAGAAAAUGUUUAAAGUGAAAUAAUUAAACAUCAAAACAGUCAAAAGAAAACCCUGCUUUAAGAAAAAAAAAUAUCCUCCUGAUUUCAUACAUAACAUGUGAUUAUGAUUUUUUUUUUUCGGGUAAAUGCAGAAGCAAAUCCUGUUCACUAAGGACAAUUAAGAAAUCAGAGGCCAACGUUGUACAUGGAACUAGAGUAGUUAUUUGGCCAGCUAACUUGUGAGUGCAAUCAACCAAUUGUAAUUGGUAAUCCUACCAUAAUUCUGAAGACAGCAUUUCAAUGCUUGUGAAAUUGUAUUACAAAAGGAAAGUCUUUAUCUCUGAAUGUUUUUUAAGAUGAUGAAUCUGUGGGAAACAUACUUACUAAAUUCAUUGCAUUUGGGUCCAAUGAUAGUAAUGUUUUUAUUUACUCUUUAAAAAUUAUGACCAUAACUACAUUAGCUAAGAUUUUGUAUCAAGAAAAGAAAAAAUAAAUGACCAGUUAUCAUUUGUGGUAUUUACUUUGUUUGUUUUUCUCCUGUGCAGAAUUUUUACAAAGUUGUAGUCAUCAUAUAAGUUAAUUUUGUAUCCUUUUGUUCACUUAUUAGUAUAAGUAUGCCCUACUAUUGCUUAACAUUUUAUAAAACCUUAAUUUUACUUUCCUACAUAGUAUUCAAUGGAGUAGAUAGACUGAUUUAUCCAUUAUCCUACUCAUAGAUAUUUCCCACUAUUAUAAAUAAUAUUUUGAUGAACAUUUCUUUGCAUAUGGCUUUGUCUGAUUUUAGGGAUUUCUUCUCAAUAUGAAAAUGGUUGAGCCAAAAGGCUAUAUUUUACUGGUACUUCAUCAUCUCAGAUUAUUUCUUAAAAGACUUCCAGUUUACAAUGUCACCAGUGAUAUAGGAAUGUAUCAAUUUUACCUCCUCACCAGCAGUGGAUAAUAAUUAAAAGAAAUAAAAAGAUAAGAUUGUAUUUUAUAGACUAAAAGUUAAAAGAAACUUAAACUUAUAUUGUAUAAGAUAUCAACAAACAAGCAAGCACAAAACCCCAGCAAUGUGUGGUUCUGGAAAAGUAAUUUACACUGACUUUGUAUGAAUUACUUAACCUCUCUAGACCUCAUAUAUGUCAAAUGAGAGAAGAACUAGACACAGAUUCUCAACUCUACUAGGACGAGUAACUACUGUGUUUAGCACAUUAUCUCUUUGAGAAUAUGGUCAAAGAUUUGUCCCUUUCUGCAGAAAAUGCUCAUCCCCCAGAUGCUCAAAUUUCCUAAACCUAAAUCUCAUUAAUGGAAGAGAGUCUAUAAGUGCCAGCUUAAGAAACUCUGUACCAGAAGAUCUCUAAGGUCCUUUCCAUAUUUAAAUAUUUUCCUAUGACUUUACUUUAUAACCCAGUAAACACUUUUUAGUGGAUAAAUAGUGAUAUAUCCAUAGAUGCAUUACUAUUCAGCACACUUAAACUAGAGCUAUAGGUAUCAAUCGGAUUAGAUUAUAAAAACAAAAGUGAAUUUUCGGAAUACAUAUGAAUUUUGCAAUGAAUGUUACUUUAAAACUAAGUCAAUACUUUAUUACUUAUCGAUAUGCUUUUUAUAGUAAAAUAUAAAAAUAUGGAUGGGCAUGAUAUACACAAAUUCAUUAUGGACUAGUAUGAAAUGGCUCAAAAAGUAUUAAAGAAGACUUAUUUGUAAUUGCAAUGUUUUAUAUCUUUAAAAGAUCUGAUGUAAAUGUGACAAACCAUUUAUAUUUUUUCCAGCUUUAUUAAGAUAUAUUUGGCAAAUAAUUACAUACAUUUAAGGUGUAAAACUUGAUGUUUUGAUUAAACCAUUUACAUUUAAUUAUAGGUGGAAGGUACAUGGAUGUUUGUUAUAUAAUUAUGUGCCAUGUUCUAUAUUCAUUUUUUUUCAUGGUUAAAAAAAUAACUUUUCCAGAACCAGUUAGUUUAAAACUAUGAAUUGUGAACAGGGUCCUAGAGAUAGUUCUUGAUUAUGCUAAUGCUAAUAUAUUAGAUUUGCAGAAUAUUUCAAAGUGCCUUUACGUAUUUUAUAUCUUCUGAUUUUCACACAGAUCCCUAUGGAGCCAAUUAAUGCCAUUUUGCAGAAUAUGUGGCCACAUAUUUUGAGAUUUGUACAAGAUCAAAAUGUUAGAGAUGGAAUUAGGACUAGAACUGUGACCUCUUGAUUCAUAGCCCCUCCCUCCUAUACCACCUGGCCUUCUCACUCUACAGACGAGGAAUAUUAUGGUCCCUCAGUUUCUUCAUGGGUAAAAGAAAAUUUGCCUCGUUUUGUCAUUGAAUACACCUUUUCCAUUUUCUUUAUGUUUGAAUUAUUUUCUAAUGGAGUUUUUUUCUUCUCACAAUGAGUAAGGUUAAUAAAUGGAACAAGCUUUCACUAUAAUCUAAAGUACCAUGUAUACAGAAUUGAAGCCAUUGAAAAAUUUGCUGUAAAAAGUUUAGCAGCAUGGGAAAUCAUGUAGUCCAAAAGUAGUCUCUACUCCCAGUUUAAAAAUAUACAUAUUUUUAUUGAUUUCAGAGAGGAAGGGAGAAGGAGAAAGAAACAUCAAUGAUGAGAAAGAAUCAUUGACUGGCUGCCUCCUGCAGGACCCACACUGGGGAUCGAGCCUGCAACCCUGGCAUGUGCCCUGACCAGAAAUCAAACCGUGACCUCCUGGUUCAUAGGUCGAUGUUCAACCACCGAGCCACGCCAGCUGGGCCCCCCAGUUUUACAGGUGAGAUUCAUAAUGUCCUAAGAGGUUAAAUGACAAUGAUGUCCUCAGUCAUCCAGUUGGAUUCUUGAGAACUAGAAACCAGAUUUCAUGUUCCUAACACAGAGUAAAUCCCAUUUUUACUCCACAUUACUUCUUGUUUGAUACAAUCUUCUCUUUUUCACCAAAGCACAUAAGAAACCAAAACUAUUUGGGACCCAAAUAAACUUGUUUUCUAUAUACUCAGCUGGCUAUGACCAUAAUAUAAGAUGUGCUGAAGAUAAACAUUCAUGCUAGGUAUAAAUUGUGCUAAUCACAUGGAAUAACAGUAUAAAAAGAAGCUUAUUUUAUAACAACAAUACAAGUAAACUUUUUUGUUGCUAAUGUUUUUGUUGCUGGUUUGAUGGGGACUUCCUCAUUUUAUACUUGGCGAAACAACAGAGAUUUUGUUUCUUAAUCAUUCCCACUGGUCUUUGUAGGACUUGCUUAUCAAGUCUAUUGCAUAAAUAAUGAAAAUUACAAUUUAAUGUUUUGAUACUUUCUGGAUUACUGGAUAGCUAGAACACUCUGGACAAAUAUUCAAAAUGUCAGGACAGUGUAGAGCUUUCCAAAGAUAAAGUUUUAAAGGACAGGCUCCUGGUGGAAUUCAAAUUAAUACAUAACAUUUAAAGUAAGGACCCUGAAGACAUUUCCUAAAUGUAGAGGAAGAAAGGCUAAUGCCUAAAUUUGACUCCUCUGUGGUUGGCUUUAUUAACAUGUUGAAGUGACCAGCACAGAAAGUCAUUGGCUAAUUAAAUGUGCUACUUAAAAAAUAACCAGAGCUACAUUCAUUAUUCAAUAUGGUAGCUACUAACCACAUGUGGUUGUUUAGCAUUCAGAACUUGUAUAGUCUAUAUUGAGAUGUGCCACAGGAUUUUGAAGACCUAGAUCAAAAAUUACUUUAAUAAUUUAAAGAUAUUGAUUACAUUUUAAAAUAUGUUAGAUAUAUUUGAUUAAAUAAAGAUUUUGAAAUUAA